UGGAAUGUCGCCAAGUUGGUAAGGCGUUGCCUUUUGGUGGCAAUAUUUCGGAGGUUCGAGUCCUUCCAUUCCAG
rnacentral:tRNA from 1 species